rnacentral:rRNA from 1 species
GAAUAUUGGUCAAUGGCCGGAAGGCUGAACCAGCCAAGCCGCGUGAGGGAGGAAGGCGCAGAGCGUCGCAGACCUCUUUUGCCGGGGGACAAAAGGCCGGACGUGUCCGGUCCUGAGGGUACCCGGAGAAAAAGCAUCGGCUAACUCCGUGCCAGCAGCCGCGGUAAUACGGAGGAUGCGAGCGUUAUCCGGAUUUAUUGGGUUUAAAGGGAGCGUAGGCGGGUUGUUAAGUCAGUUGUGAAAGUUUGCGGCUCAACCGUAAAAUUGCAGUUGAUACUGGCAUCCUUGAGUACAGUAGAGGUAGGCGGAAUUCGUGGUGUAGCGGUGAAAUGCUUAGAUAUCACGCAGAACUCCGAUUGCGAAGGCAGCAUACCGGCGCCCUACUGACGCUGAGGCACGAAAGCGUGGGUAUCGAACAG